CAGGCUUAACACAUGCAAGUCGAGGGGCAGCAUGGUCUUAGCUUGCUAAGGCCGAUGGCGACCGGCGCACGGGUGAGUAACACGUAUCCAACCUGCCGUCUACUCUUGGACAGCCUUCUGAAAGGAAGAUUAAUACAAGAUGGCAUCAUGAGUCCGCAUGUUCACAUGAUUAAAGGUAUUCCGGUAGACGAUGGGGAUGCGUUCCAUUAGAUAGUAGGCGGGGUAACGGCCCACCUAGUCUUCGAUGGAUAGGGGUUCUGAGAGGAAGGUCCCCCACAUUGGAACUGAGACACGGUCCAAACUCCUACGGGAGGCAGCAGUGAGGAAUAUUGGUCAAUGGGCGAGAGCCUGAACCAGCCAAGUAGCGUGAAGGAUGACUGCCCUAUGGGUUGUAAACUUCUUUUAUAAAGGAAUAAAGUCGGGUAUGCAUACCCGUUUGCAUGUACUUUAUGAAUAAGGAUCGGCUAACUCCGUGCCAGCAGCCGCGGUAAUACGGAGGAUCCGAGCGUUAUCCGGAUUUAUUGGGUUUAAAGGGAGCGUAGAUGGAUGUUUAAGUCAGUUGUGAAAGUUUGCGGCUCAACCGUAAAAUUGCAGUUGAUACUGGAUAUCUUGAGUGCAGUUGAGGCAGGCGGAAUUCGUGGUGUAGCGGUGAAAUGCUUAGAUAUCACGAAGAACUCCGAUUGCGAAGGCAGCCUGCUAAGCUGCAACUGACAUUGAGGCUCGAAAGUGUGGGUAUCAAACAGGAUUAGAUACCCUGGUAGUCCACACGGUAAACGAUGAAUACUCGCUGUUUGCGAUAUACAGCAAGCGGCCAAGCGAAAGCGUUAAGUAUUCCACCUGGGGAGUACGCCGGCAACGGUGAAACUCAAAGGAAUUGACGGGGGCCCGCACAAGCGGAGGAACAUGUGGUUUAAUUCGAUGAUACGCGAGGAACCUUACCCGGGCUUAAAUUGCAGAUGAAUUACGGUGAAAGCCGUAAGCCGCAAGGCAUCUGUGAAGGUGCUGCAUGGUUGUCGUCAGCUCGUGCCGUGAGGUGUCGGCUUAAGUGCCAUAACGAGCGCAACCCUUGUUGUCAGUUACUAACAGGUUCCGCUGAGGACUCUGACAAGACUGCCAUCGUAAGAUGUGAGGAAGGUGGGGAUGACGUCAAAUCAGCACGGCCCUUACGUCCGGGGCUACACACGUGUUACAAUGGGGGGGUACAGAGGGCCGCUACCACGCGAGUGGAUGCCAAUCCCAAAAACCUCUCUCAGUUCGGACUGGAGUCUGCAACCCGACUCCACGAAGCUGGAUUCGCUAGUAAUCGCGCAUCAGCCACGGCGCGGUAAAUACGUUCCCGGGCCUUGUACACACCGCCCGUCAAGCCAUGGGAGCCGGGGGUACCUGAAGUGCGUAACCGCGAGGAGCGCCCUAGGGUAAAACUGGUGACUGGGGCUAA
rnacentral:rRNA from 1 species